rnacentral:rRNA from 1 species
AAACAUAGCCUUUAGCAAACCCAGUAUUAAAGGUGACGCCUGCCCAGUGAAAUUUAAACGGCCGCGGUAUCCUAACCGUGCAAAGGUAGCGUAAUCACUUGUCUUAUAAAUAAAGACCUGURUGAACGGCUAAAUGAAUAUUUAACUGUCUCCUUUGACUUGUCAGUGAAACUGAUCUUUCAGUACAAAAGCUGAAAUAAACAUAUAAGRCGAGAAGACCCUGUGGAGCUUUAAACUUUUAUCAAGACAACAUUACAACCUAUGUCUAUGAUUAGAAGUUUUAAGUUUGGGGCGACUUUUGGAGUAAAACAAAACCCUCCAAGAACAAGGUACCACCCUAAACCUAGGCCCCACUAGCCUAACAAAUUUAGACCCAGUACUACUGAUCAACGAACCAAGUUACCCCCAGGGAUAACAGCGCCAUCUUCUUUCAAGAGUUCAUAUCGACAAGAAGGUUUACGACCUCGAUGUUGGAUCAGGACACCCAAAUGGUGCAGCCGCUAUUAAAGGUUCGUUU